rnacentral:sRNA from 10 species
UCCUCACCACUACAUCUGUAUGUCUGCAUCUCAUUUCUUUUCUCUUUCUUUUCCUUUCCUUUUUUUUCUUUCUUGCUAUUUAUCUAUCUUUUGUUCCUCUCUUUGAUUUCUUUGCCAAAAAUGUUAUUUUGAGGGAAUCAAACCUGCACGUUUCCAUCCUUGAAAGACUUAAUUGUGAUUAAUUGUCCUAGCUUGAAGGUUGUACACCGAAAAGUUAAGAGAUCUAAAGACAAAGUUGUACAAGCCCUUUGAAGAAUAUGCAAGGAACACUUGUGCAUCAUCAAGUAUUUCUUCUCACUCAAUAAGUAAUUUGCCUAAGCAAACUGGAGGGGGAACUAAACCUAAAGGAUCAAAGAUCUUUAAUAUGACAAUGAUUCAGACCUUGAGACAUCAUUGCUGUCCAACCAAGAUUCAAAUGAUUUGCUUGAUGAUGAGGAUUGAGGAGGACAAAUCUUGAAGUUUCUAUUUAUUUGGUUGUGUACUUAUGUUGAUGGGAUUGUAAUUUAUGUUAAUGAUCGAAACUUUAUUUA